AUGGGUAUUUUUAAAUUUCCUGUUUCACUUUGUGAUGAGUUAUCUCAGAUUACCAGGAAUUUUUGGUGGGGCGAUGAGGAUAAUAGGAAAAAAAACCAUUGGCUGGCUUGGGAUAAUAUGACGAAGCCAAAAAGUGAAGGGGGAAUGGGUUUUCGAGACCUAAGGCUUUUUAAUCAAGCGCUUCUGGCUAAACAAGCUUGGCGCUUAUUGGUUUACCCGGAUUCCUUGUGUGCAAAGGUGAUGAAAGCUAAAUAUUAUCCUCAUGGACACCUAAUUAAUACGGUGUUCCCGCAAGCGACUUCCCUUACUUGGCAAGGUAUUAUGUAUGGGCUUGAGCUGUUGAAAAAGGGCAUUAUUUGGAGAGUUGUCGAUGGAACCUGUAUUAAUAUCUGGAGGGAUAAUUGGAUUCCUAGGGAAGCAGGCCUAAAAAUAACUGCUAAAAAGAAUUGAACGAGGAUCAAAUGGGUGUCUGAAUUAUUCAUGAGUGGGUCUAGGAGGUGGCAUGAGAAUCUGAUCACACAUCUAUUUUAUCCUUAUGAUGCAGAGGAAAUUCUAGAGCUUCGUAUUCUGAAUUUGGGUGAGGGAGAUCUACUUGCUUGACACUAUGAGAAAAAUGGAUUAUUCUCUGUGAAGAGUGCGUAUAGACUGGCACUGUCUCUCAAGCAAUCAAUAGGUGAUUCCCAGAAUUCUAGUAAUGCCGUGAAUGGGGAACGGAGGCUCUGGGACAUAAUUUGGAAAGCAAAUGUUCCUCAGAAAAUUAAAAUCUUUGCUUGGAGGGUGGCUUCUAAUAGUUUGGCGGUUCAAGUUAAUAGGGUGAAACACCAUCAAACUAUUUUAGGUACGUGCUCGAUCUGCGGUACUGAAGAUGAAUGUACUUUUCAUGCAUUGGUAAAUUGUCCAAAGGCACGUGCUUUUCGUUUGGCUCUGAGAGAAGUAUGGAAUCUACCAACUGAAGACAUUCUCAAAUAUUCUGGGCCAGACUGGUUUCUUAUAUUAUUGGAUCAAUUAAAUUCGCAUAUGCGUGAGCAGACAAUAUUCAUGUUCUGGAGAGCUUGGCACUUGAGGAAUGAUUUGAUCUUUGGCAAGGGAAAGGAAUCCAUCGCGACUUCGGUAAGUUUUGUUCAAAGUUAUUGGACUACUUUCUCGUCUUGUCAGGCAAACAUGCAGGUGGUGGUGUGCAACAAGCACUAG
rnacentral:rRNA from 1 species